AGAAGAAAGGCCAACGCCUUGCUUAUUAUACUAGUAAUCUGGGAGCUUUAAAAUGAGAGGAAAGUGUGAGUCUUCCGUAACAAAACGACUUUGCCCACAAUCAUCUCUGUAAACAUCCAGCCAGAGGCGAGGAAUUUGGUUCUCACCGAGGCAAAACAUUUGAGCUCUUUGAUGCCGCGAGAGUAG
rnacentral:rRNA from 1 species